GGGUGAGUAACACGUGGGCAAUCUGCCCUUCACUCUGGGACAAGCCCUGGAAACGGGGUCUAAUACCGGAUAACACUCUGUCCUGCAUGGGACGGGGUUAAAAGCUCCGGCGGUGAAGGAUGAGCCCGCGGCCUAUCAGCUUGUUGGUGGGGUAAUGGCCUACCAAGGCGACGACGGGUAGCCGGCCUGAGAGGGCGACCGGCCACACUGGGACUGAGACACGGCCCAGACUCCUACGGGAGGCAGCAGUGGGGAAUAUUGCACAAUGGGCGAAAGCCUGAUGCAGCGACGCCGCGUGAGGGAUGACGGCCUUCGGGUUGUAAACCUCUUUCAGCAGGGAAGAAGCGAAAGUGACGGUACCUGCAGAAGAAGCGCCGGCUAACUACGUGCCAGCAGCCGCGGUAAUACGUAGGGCGCAAGCGUUGUCCGGAAUUAUUGGGCGUAAAGAGCUCGUAGGCGGCUUGUCACGUCGGAUGUGAAAGCCCGGGGCUUAACCCCGGGUCUGCAUUCGAUACGGGCUAGCUAGAGUGUGGUAGGGGAGAUCGGAAUUCCUGGUGUAGCGGUGAAAUGCGCAGAUAUCAGGAGGAACACCGGUGGCGAAGGCGGAUCUCUGGGCCAUUACUGACGCUGAGGAGCGAAAGCGUGGGGAGCGAACAGGAUUAGAUACCCUGGUAGUCCACGCCGUAAACGUUGGGAACUAGGUGUUGGCGACAUU
rnacentral:rRNA from 1 species